rnacentral:tRNA from 1 species
GGAUAUAGCUCAAUUGGUAGAGUGCUUGCCUUGCAUGCACAAGGAAGGCCCUGGGUUCGAUCCCCAGCACCA